rnacentral:rRNA from 1 species
UACGUAGGGAGCAAGCGUUGUCCGGAAUCAUUGGGCGUAAAGCGCGCGUAGGUGGCCUCGUAAGUCCGCUGUAAAAGUCAAAGGCUCAACCUUUGAAAGUCGGUGGAUACUGCGGGGCUAGAGUACGGAAGAGGCGAGUGGAAUUCCUGGUGUAGCGGUGGAAUGCGCAGAUAUCAGGAGGAACACCAAUAGCGAAGGCAGCUCGCUGGGACGUUACUGACACUGAGGCGCGAAAGCGUGGGGAGCGAACAGG